GGGGGGGGGUAAACAAGCUGGAGAGGGCCACAUUUUAACAUUUAUAUAUAAUCUUGUAACAACAAGAUUUUAUAUAGAGUAUAUUAGGCAAAAUGUCCUUUAAUAUCUGUUCGCUCUGAUUGUGGUAUGUACAUGUACCAUAUAUUGCUUUGUCUUGUUUUCAUUGUUGUUGGUUUUUUUUCUUCUUUACAAUAUUGUGAUUACAUAUGAUAUACGUAAUUCUCUUGUCUGUCUAUUUUAUGCAAAAUCAAUGCAUAAUAUUUAUUGUAUUAUUGAUGAGUUGGUUGCAUACGCGGAUCUAGCGUUUUCUGGGAGUAGAGGGGGGGGGGGGGGUCCGAGGGAUAAUUGUGUUUGCCAGGGGGUCAGAGGCCUAUUUUCGGUAAAUUUACUCUGUGCGUUUAUUAUUUCAGGUUUAUUUUUCAGAGGGGGGGGGGGGGGGGCAGACCCUCCCCCCUUCCCCUCCACUAGAUCCGCGCAUGAGUUGAAUGUUUUUUUGGUGUUUUUUUUUUAAUAAAUUUUGUUUAAAUUUUUGGAUAAACUUUUUUUAAGUAUUGUAUAUACUUGCAUUUUAAUGUAAGCCAUCUAUAUCGGUUUGAUCUUCGUUAUAAGAAGAAGUAUACAGAAUGUUCAUUGAUUUGUACAUAAUAUUCCGACCCAUUGUCUUUCAGGAAAUUAUAUUUUUGUAAAACUUUAAGGUGGCAAAAUGUUUAUGUACGGGAGAAAGUUUCUGUGCCAUUUUUGAAGAAUGAAAUAAAAAUUUAUAAAAU
rnacentral:misc_RNA from 1 species